rnacentral:miRNA from 1 species
AAGAAUGAAAAUCCUGCCCUGUCGGAU